AUUGAACGCUGGCGGCAUGCCUUACACAUGCAAGUCGAACGGCAGCACGGACUUCGGUCUGGUGGCGAGUGGCGAACGGGUGAGUAAUAUAUCGGAACAUACCUUGUAGUGGGGGAUAACUAUCCGAAAGGAUAGCUAAUACCGCAUACGCUCUAAGGAGGAAAGGGGGGGAUCGCAAGACCUCAUGCUAUAAGAGUGGCCGAUAUCUGAUUAGCUAGUUGGUGAGGUCAAGGCUCACCAAGGCGACGAUCAGUAGCUGGUCUGAGAGGACGACCAGCCACACUGGAACUGAGACACGGUCCAGACUCCUACGGGAGGCAGCAGUGGGGAAUUUUGGACAAUGGGGGCAACCCUGAUCCAGCAAUGCCGCGUGAGUGAAGAAGGCCUUCGGGUUGUAAAGCUCUUUUGUCAGGGAAGAAACGGUUGUGGCUAAUAUCCAUGGCUAAUGACGGUACCUGAAGAAUAAGCACCGGCUAACUACGUGCCAGCCGCCGCAGUAA
rnacentral:rRNA from 1 species